rnacentral:tRNA from 1 species
AGAAGUUUAGGUUAGACAGACCAAGAGCCUUCAAAGCCCUAAGCAAGCCUCACUGGCUUAACUUCUG